CAGAGUUAUCCAACUCCCAAACCCAUGUGAACUUAUCUCUUUGUUGCCUCGGCGCAAGCUACCCGGGACCCUCGCGCCCCGGGCGGCCCGCCGGCGGACAAACCAAAACUCUUGUUAUCUUAGUUGAUUAUCUGAGUGUCUUAUUUAAUAAGUCA
rnacentral:misc_RNA from 1 species